rnacentral:rRNA from 1 species
CCCUUAGAUGUUCUGGGCCGCACGCGCGCUACAAUGGUCUUCGCAAACGGAUGCAUUCUCGAAGGAGAAUGCCAAUCUUGGAAUCUAUGCCUUGGUCGGGACAGUUGCUUGCAAUUUUUCGACUCGAACCAGGAAUUCCUUGUAAUCGUGAUUCAUCACAUCACGAUGAAUACGUCCCUGCCCUUUGUACACACCGCCCGUCGCUCCUACCGAUCGAAGAGUUAGGUGAAUUGUUUCGAUCGAUAAGAUUUGACUAUGGUCAACUCUCGUUGUGAAAUUCUGUGAAUCUGACUGUUUAGAGGAAGGAAAAGUCGUAACA